rnacentral:rRNA from 1 species
CACGGGUGGCAGCAGUGGGGAAUAUUGGACAAUGGGCGAAAGCCUGAUCCAGCCAUGCCGCGUGUGUGAAGAAGGCCUUCGGGUUGUAAAGCACUUUCAGUGGGGAAGAAAGCCUUGGGGCUAAUACCCUCGAGGAAGGACAUCACCCACAGAAGAAGCACCGGCUAACUCCGUGCCAGCAGCCGCGGUAAUACGGAGGGUGCGAGCGUUAAUCGGAAUUACUGGGCGUAAAGCGCGCGUAGGCGGUCUGAUAAGCCGGUUGUGAAAGCCCCGGGCUCAACCUGGGAACGGCAUCCGGAACUGUCAGGCUAGAGUGCAGGAGAGGAAGGUAGAAUUCCCGGUGUAGCGGUGAAUGCGUAGAGACCGGGAGGAAUACCAGUGGCGAAGGCGGCCUUCUGGACUGACACUGACGCUGAGGUGCGAAAGCGUGGGUAGCAAACAGGAUUAGAUACCCUAGUAGUC